rnacentral:rRNA from 1 species
UACGUAGGUGGCAAGCGUUGUCCGGAUUUACUGGGCGUAAAGAGCGCGCAGGCGGUCGUUCAAGUCGCGUGUGAAAGCCCCCGGCUCAACUGGGGAGGGUCACGCGAUACUGAUCGACUCGAAGGCAGGAGAGGGUAGUGGAAUUCCCGGUGUAGUGGUGAAAUGCGUAGAUAUCGGGAGGAACACCAAUUCGAAGGCAGCUCGCUGGGACGUGACUGACGCUGAGACGCGAAAGCGUGGGGAGCAAACAGGG